GCUUUACGCCAUCUCUGAAGAGUACAGAUAAACAGAAUUCAGUCUGAAGCCAUUAUUGUGAUAAUUGGCCAGAGUAGGCAGCGUUCCACGCACCUGGGCUCAGUGUCCCCGGAGUCGGAAUAGGGAACACGAGGGAUAUCUCUAUUGAAACAUGUAAUUAAGUAGAAGGCAAACACAGAGCACAGCCACCAUGCCAACCAAAUCCCCACCGCGGCCCAGC